rnacentral:rRNA from 1 species
UGAACGCUGGCGGUAUGCUUAACACAUGCAAGUCGAACGGAAACGAUACUAGCUUGCUAGUAGGCGUCGAGUGGCGGACGGGUGAGUAACGCGUAGGAAUCUGCCUGAUAGUGGGGGAUAGCCCGAAGAAAUUCGGAUUAAUACCGCAUAAUCUAUUCGUAGUAAAGUGGGGGACUUUCGAGCCUCACGCUAUCAGAUGAGCCUGCGUAAGAUUAGCUUGUUGGUAGGGUAAAAGCCUACCAAGGCGACGAUCUUUAGCUGGUCUGAGAGGAUGAUCAGCCACAUCGGGACUGAGACACGGCCCGAACUCCUACGGGAGGCAGCAGUGGGGAAUAUUGGACAAUGGGGGCAACCCUGAUCCAGCAAUACCGCGUGUGUGAAGAAGGCCUGAGGGUUGUAAAGCACUUUCAAUUGUGAAGAAAAGUUAGCGGUUAAUAACCGUUAGCCUUGACGUUAACUUUAGAAGAAGCACCGGCUAACUCCGUGCCAGCAGCCGCGGUAAUACGGAGGGUGCAAGCGUUAAUCGGAAAUUACUGGGCGUAAAGCGUGCGUAGGCGGUUUAUUAAGUCAGAUGUGAAAGCCCCGGGCUUAACCUGGGAACUGCAUUUGAAACUGGUCAACUAGAGUAUGGUAGAGGAAAGUGGAAUUUCUGGUGUAGCGGUGAAAUGCGUAGAUAUCAGAAGGAACAUCAAUGGCGAAGGCAGCUUUCUGGACCAAUACUGACGCUGAGGUACGAAAGCGUGGGUAGCAAACAGGAUUAGAUACCCUGGUAGUCCACGCCGUAAACGAUGAUAACUAGCCGUUGGGGGGAUUUACCCUUUAGUGGCGAAGCUAACGCGUUAAGUUAUCCGCCUGGGGAGUACGGCCGCAAGGUUAAAACUCAAAGGAAUUGACGGGGACCCGCACAAGCGGUGGAGCAUGUGGUUUAAUUCGAUGCAACGCGAAGAACCUUACCUGGUCUUGACAUCCUGCGAACUUUCUAGAAAUAGAUUGGUGCCUUCGGGAACGCAGUGACAGGUGCUGCAUGGCUGUCGUCAGCUCGUGUCGUGAGAUGUUGGGUUAAGUCCCGUAACGAGCGCAACCCCUAUCCUUAUUUGCCAGCACAUCAUGGUGGGAACUAUAAGGAGACUGCCGGUGAUAAACCGGAGGAAGGCGGGGACGACGUCAAGUCAUCAUGGCCCUUACGACCAGGGCUACACACGUGCUACAAUGGGAAGGACAAAGAGCCGCGAAGCCGCGAGGUGUAGCUAAUCUCAUAAACCUUUUCGUAGUCCGGAUUGGAGUCUGCAACUCGACUCCAUGAAGUCGGAAUCGCUAGUAAUCGUAGAUCAGAAUGCUACGGUGAAUACGUUCCCGGGUCUUGUACUCACCGC